AUCUCCUUCAGGAAGCCAAACUCCUCUUGAGAGCUCACCAUGGUGUCCUGGACUCUGCUUUUCCUUGCUCUUUUCAGUUCCUGCUCAGGGGUCCAUUCUCAGAGUGUGACUCAACACCUGGCCUCCACCACUGUGUCGCUAGGCCAAACAGUUGAACUCUACUGCACCAGAAGCAGUGGAGGUAGCUGGCACGCCUGGUACAACUGGUUCCAGCAGAGACCUGGGCAGGGCCCUCGCUUUGUGCACAGGCCAGGUGGCAGCCGGGGAGAAGGGAUCCCGGAUCGGUUCACUGCCUCCAGCUCUGGGGGUAUUUGGUAUUUGACCAUCACUAACGCCCAGGCUGAAGACGAGGCGGAUUAUUACUGCGGCGAAUGGGAGAACACUGGUGGUUUGAAGUUCCACAUUCCUGCUCAGACAGUGAAACUCUCCUGCACCCGAAGCAGCGGAGGGAGCUGGAACAACUGGUACAACUGGUAUCAACAGAAACCUGGACAAGCCCCUCGCUUUGUACACUGUGGAGCCUCAGCCUGCAGCAGGGGAGAAGGGAUCCCGGAUCGGUUCACUGCCUCUGGCUCUGGGGGUACUUGGGAUUUGACCAUCACGAACAUCCAGCCCGAAGACGAUGCAGCUUAUUACUGUGGCGACUGGGAGAGCACUGGGGGUUACAAGUUCCACAGUGGUACAGUCUAA